rnacentral:rRNA from 1 species
UACACUCCUGCGGGAGGCAGCAGUGGGGAAUAUUGCACAAUGGGCGCAAGCCUGAUGCAGCCAUGCCGCGUGUAUGAAGAAGGCCUUCGGGUUGUAAAGUACUUUCAGCGGGGAGGAAGGCAAUACGGUUAAUAACCGUGUUGAUUGACGUUACCCGCAGAAGAAGCACCGGCUAACUCCGUGCCAGCAGCCGCGGUAAUACGGAGGGUGCAAGCGUUAAUCGGAAUUACUGGGCGUAAAGCGCACGCAGGCGGUCUGUCAAGUCGGAUGUGAAAUCCCCGGGCUCAACCUGGGAACUGCAUUCGAAACUGGCAGGCUUGAGUCUUGUAGAGGGGGGUAGAAUUCCAGGUGUAGCGGUGAAAUGCGUAGAGAUCUGGAGGAAUACCGGUGGCGAAGGCGGCCCCCUGGACAAAGACUGACGCUCAGGUGCGAAAGCGUGGGGAGCAAACAGGAUUAGAUACCCCAGUAGUCCCAUGA